rnacentral:rRNA from 1 species
GAUGAACGCUGGCGGCGUGCCUAAUACAUGCAAGUCGAGCGAACAGACGAGGAGCUUGCUCCUCUGACGUUAGCGGCGGACGGGUGAGUAACACGUGGAUAACCUACCUAUAAGACUGGGAUAACUUCGGGAAACCGGAGCUAAUACCGGAUAAUAUAUUAAACCGCAUGGUUCAAUAGUGAAAGACGGUUUUGCUGUCACUUAUAGAUGGAUCCGCGCCGCAUUAGCUAGUUGGUAAGGUAACGGCUUACCAAGGCAACGAUGCGUAGCCGACCUGAGAGGGUGAUCGGCCACACUGGAACUGAGACACGGUCCAGGCUCCUACGGGAGGCAGCAGUAGGGAAUCUUCCGCAAUGGGCGAAAGCCUGACGGAGCAACGCCGCGUGAGUGAUGAAGGUCUUCGGAUCGUAAAACUCUGUUAUUAGGGAAGAACAAAUGUGUAAGUAACUAUGCACGUCUUGACGGUACCUAAUCAGAAAGCCACGGCUAACUACGUG